rnacentral:rRNA from 1 species
GUUGAACGCUGGCGGCAGGCCUAACACAUGCAAGUCGAACGGUAACAGGAAGAAGCUUGCUUCUUUGCUGACGAGUGGCGGACGGGUGAGUAAUGUCUGGGAAACUGCCUGAUGGAGGGGGAUAACUACUGGAAACGGUAGCUAAUACCGCAUAACGUCGCAAGACCAAAGAGGGGGACCUUCGGGCCUCUUGCCAUCGGAUGUGCCCAGAUGGGAUUAGCUAGUAGGUGGGGUAACGGCUCACCUAGGCGACGAUCCCUAGCUGGUCUGAGAGGAUGACCAGCCACACUGGAAGUGAGACACGGUCCAGACUCCUACGGGAGGCAACAGUGGGGAAUAUUGCACAAUGGGCGCAAGCCUGAUGCAGCCAUGCCGCGUGUAUGAAGAAGGCCUUCGGGUUGUAAAGUACUUUCAGCGGGGAGGAAGGGAGUAAAGUUAAUACCUUUACUCAUUGACGUUACCCGCAGAAGAAGCACCGGCUAACUCCGUG